GGGGCUAAUACCGGAUAGGUCGAAAGAUGAAAGGUUAACUGCCGGAAGAGGAGCUCGCGUCUGAUUAGCUAGUAGGUGUGGUAAGAGCGCACCUAGGCGACGAUCAGUAGCUGGUCUGAGAGGAUGAGCAGCCACACUGGGACUGAGACACGGCCCAGACUCCUACGGGAGGCAGCAGUGGGGAAUUUUCCGCAAUGGGCGAAAGCCUGACGGAGCAAGACCGCGUGGGGGAGGAAGGCCUUUGGGUUGUAAACCCCUUUUGUUAGGGAAGAAAAAAAUGACGGUACCUAACGAAUCACCCUCGGCUAACUCCGUGCCAGCAGCCGCGGUAAUACGGAGGAGGCAAGCGUUAUCCGGAAUUAUUGGGCGUAAAGCGUCCGUAGGUGGCCCGGCAAGUCUGCUGUCAAAGACCACAGCUCAACUGUGGAAAGGCAGUGGAAACUGCAAGGCUAGAGUGCGGUAGGGGUAGAGGGAAUUCCCAGUGUAGCGGUGAAAUGCGUAGAGAUUGGGAAGAACACCGGUGGCGAAAGCGCUCUACUGGGCCGCAACUGACACUGAUGGACGAAAGCUAGGGGAGCGAAAGGGAUUAGAUACCCCAGGUAGUC
rnacentral:rRNA from 1 species